UCUCGGGCUAUUGAUCCGCGCGCGUUUCGGCCGACGUAGACGAUCGGCGUAGAGUGCCGCGGACGACGGGCCGCACGCCGCCCGUAAAUAUUCCUUCAGUGCGCCGUGACCGACAGACUUACGCGAAUAAAGCGUCCUUUUAGCGACAGCAGGCAGUGGCAGCAGCAGCAGCAGCAGCAGCGGUAGCAACAGCGGUAGCAACAGCAACAGCAACAGCAACAGCAACAGCAGCGCAGCUGAAGAUGGUCAGCGGAGUGACGGAGGGUGGACCUCUGAUUCGACCCGUCGAGCCUGUCUCGACGGCGACGCUGGUGACGCUAUGCAUCGGCGCCGCUUUCCUACUUUGCGCCGUCGCGAUGACCUGGUGGCUCUGCCGACGACGUCGCGAGCACACCAAGCUAAGCUCCGACAAGUCCCUGGCGUUCAGACCGCCGCACCGGAAGCCCACGGCGGUUAAGAGCCCCGGUAGCACGAGCCACUACUUGAAGAAGAGCCCGUCGCCGACAGGGCCGGCCAAGAGUCCACCUGGCUCCGGCGGCCAGACGCCGAGCCCGACGGGGUCGCAGUCCUCGAACCCGACGUCGCAGCCCCGAACGCCGCAGAGCGCAGGCACACCGGUGCAAACACCACCUGUCGAGGUGGCCGUGAGCAUAGAAAACGAGCGCGACAAGGCCGAGCUGGAGAACAACGAGAAGGUGGAGCGCGAGAAGAGCCAGACAGCCGAGAACGACAAGGACAACCUGGGCCAGCUGGUGUUCAAGCUGCGCUACCGCAGCGAGCAGAACGCGCUCGCCGUCACGGUGGUGAAGUGUAAGGGACUGCCCGCCAGGGGCCAGCAGAAUGCCACCAGCGACCCUUACGUGAAGCUGCAGUUGUUGCCCGAUAAGCAGCACCACGUGAAAACCAGAGUGCUGAGGAACACGAGGGACCCGGUGUACGACGAGGAUUUCACGUUCUUCGGCAUAUCGCAGAGUCAGCUUCAGAAAAUCAGCUUGCACUUCAUCGUGCUGAGCUUCGACAGAUACUCGCGCGACGACAUCAUCGGUGAACUGACGUGCGCCCUGUCAUCGGUACCCGGCCUGGAGGACGCGGACAAUCAAGAGAUAUCUCUCUGUCGGAAAAUAUGCCCCAGGAGUCUGAAGAUCCAGUCACAAGGCAGAGGAGAGUUGCUGGUAUCUCUGUGCUGGCAGCCAGUCACCAGCCGGCUCACGGUGGUGGUGCUGAAAGCGCGUAACCUGCCGAAGAUGGACGUGACCGGGCUGGCAGAUCCGUACGUGAAGAUCUACCUUCUGUACAAUCAGCAGCGCAUCGCCAAGAAGAAGACGCACGUGAAGAAACGCACGCUCAGCCCAGUGUUCAACGAGUCAUUCGUCUUCGACAUACCGAACGGCGCGGACGGGCUCAACAACGUCAGCCUGGAGUUCAUGCUUCUCGAUUGGGACCGAGUCACGAAGAACGAGGUGAUUGGCCGACUCGAGUUCGGCGGACCAAAGUGUCAAGGCUCCGCUGUGAACCAUUGGAAGGAGGUGUGCAGCUCACCGCGACGACAGAUAGCCGACUGGCACAAAUUGCGGGAGUAACCAGUCUCUCCCUGUCACUCACUCACUCACUCACUCACUCACUCAUUCACCCUCUUUCUCUCCUCCUCUCCCCUCCUCUCUCUCUCUCUCUCUCUCUCUCACUCACUCUGGCCCUAUCGUAUCAGCCCGAGCCCCGUCUCUGAUUUCCCUAAAUCCCCAUAUCGUUCUCUGCUGUGAAACCACCGAUCCGACCCUUGAAACCCUACGACGAGGUAGGGCGUCUGUUUUGUAAACCUAAUACUCGGUGUAUAUUAGGCUUUGAAGCGAACGGCUCGUCCACCCAUGAUCGCUGUCACCGUGCGGCGGGAGAUUGAGGGCGAGAUUCAUCGGCGCUAGGAUCGGCGUUGAGUUACUCGUGAAUCUUACGUUCAGUCCGAAUGAGACUUGAAGCGAGCAUCGUUCCGAGAAAACGGUAAACGGAUCGGCCGUCGUCGAUGAGUCGACCGAUGCGCGGCCGCGAGCGGCGAGCGAGGCUGAUCAAAGGGGGACGUAAUGACGAGCGAUUGCGGUGUGUGACAGCUUGCAAGAUGCUUUAGGAUAUAAAUAUAGUCGUUAAGAUUCCCGACCAGCUGACGUAACGAGACCACGGACGAGGAGUUUCGGAAUUGCGUGCGAGAAGCGACCGGCUUUCCGAUUGUUAGGCGUCGCGUCAUACUCGUGAGACGGAAGUGAGGCGAACCGCCUCAGGAUUCGCGUCGGGAUUCGCUUGGAAUCCGGCAUCGGCGUCCGGCCGAAUCCGCUUCGUUUCAUUCGUAUGAUUGAUCGCGCUCGCCAGCGCCGGGCGAGCUCUCGUCGAGAGGCGUGCGUAUUAUUGUGGCAGUGGCGUAACUAUGAGCUUUCGUUGUUUCUCUCGAUUCUCUCGGGAACGGGCUCGAGGAAGCCCGUUCCCUCUUCCGCCGCCUCAGUGGCAAUUAAUGCAAAAGGAAAGAGAAAGAAAGAAAGAGGAGGACACCGAAGGAGGGCAAAAUAAGGGCAAGUUUAACGUACGCAAACGUUCACGUCUGACUGAGACAUUCACGUGAGAAGGUUUAUAUUUUCCUAAGGUUUAUAAAUUUUAUACUCUGUGAAAUCUUCUUUUUUUCACUCAUUGGAUUCCCUUCAGGCCCCCGUAAGCGUCGGAGACACUCGAGCAUCGCUUUGCUGCGCUUCAUGUGUAAUAGUUACGCCACUUAGUUUAGCGACACACAAUGUGGGAAUUGCGACGAGCUGAUGAAUUGAAUGCGUCGUUGAAUGCGAGUCGCGAGCGAGCAAGUGCAAUGCGUCGUCGUCGUCGUCGUCGUCGUCGUCGUCGUCGUCACGGAGAGACCGAAAGUUCAAGACUCGUAUCUUCGUCUACGUCUAUCUAACACUAAACGCGACACUAUCUUCAAGUUUCAAGUAUCCGUUUACAUCGUGUGUAAUAUACUAACGCAUUAAGACUUAGAGAAUUGCAGAAUCGAAUCCGCGAUUGCGACGCGUCGCAAAGGGAAUAAUACGCCGGAAGGGAAGAAGCCGCGUGGUUCCGUCGAUAAUUGUCCCGCGAUUAUCGCAAUGAACGAAGGGUGUGUGCUGUCGUUUUUAAGAGUAGCUGGACUACGAGUUCUAAUCUCGACCCGCAUCGCGAUUGUACAUAUGUAGUAGACGUGAAAGGCGGCGAGUUUACUUGAUUCUUACGUAAUCGGUGAGAAACGAGAUCGGAUCGACGCGCGAUAUAACGUUACGCGCGUAACGCGAGCGGCACGUAUCGUAUGUGCGUCGCAAGUAUGAUGGUUGGAGAAGGGGGGGAGGGAGGGGGGCACGAGAUACACUCCAUCCGCGCUCGCCUCGAUUUGAUAUAGGCAACUUCGAACAGACCGCAAAUCGCAAAAAAACGUUACAAAUUAACUUUUGUCCUUUUAUCGUAACGCUACCGUCGGCAUGCUUCUCGCGUUGCACCCUGACCCUUCUCGCUGAUGCUACUGUGCCGACGAAGACCGAUGAACGUCCAAAUCGGAUUGCGGAUCGCGAGACAGCGCGUGACAUUCGUUUCGACAACGUGAAAGUCAAUAAUCAGCAACGCAUAAUUAACGAAUGCUUAUUUUUUUAUCGCAAUCCACCGCUCUCCACAGUGCGAGACUCGCCCAAACUGCGGGACAAGGAAAAUUUUGUCUCACGAUCAGACGUGUAAAUAUGAGUACAGCAUUCCAUUCCUCUCACGCAGGGUGCGUUUCAAAACUCUAGACGAAGAGCAAGCCACUCGAUGGAGCUUACAAGACAGCGAACGAACAGUUUCAAUUACGAUAGAAUAAUUGUUUUGAGCAAUAAGAAAAGUUGAGGAUUGUUUCAACUGGCGGUGGCAAGUUCUAAUAAAUAUAGGUCCGUAAUCGCACAUUCGAGAUGCUUACAACGUACACACAUAUUUGCAGCAUCUUUUCAAUAUCGUUUACUUUCUAUAGAAUUUCACGAGGCAAAUUUGGCGGAAAUUUCUACAGUUGGACGAUCCUCGUUACCGCCCGUUUCCUCUCUUCUGUUGCGCUUUAUAUCGGUCGGAGAAGAAACAGCUGACACACCGGCGAUGUUUGAUGCAACGUGUACACUGAAAAACAAAAUGAUUUCGACAGCUUUCUCUCUUUGCAAACAUUAAUAACUAGUCUAGUUGUGAAAUUUGAGAAUCAGUACUUAAGGAUAAUUGAGGGGGUUAGAGAGACCAGCGAUUUUUUUAGUUCGCGCAGUUUGGUUCAGUAGUGAUUCUCAACUGUAGCAGUAAUUCACAACUGCACGGAUUACUACACGGAGAAAACACGGAAAAACCGUCGAGACCGUUUCGCUUUCCAGUGUUAACGUUAACUCGUUAAUCUCGACUUAAAAACCACCGGUACUUCUCAUCGCGACAAUCCGUCGUUGAUCGAUCCUUGUUUCGGGGGAGUAGAAUACGGCCGUAUGCCCACGAGGAACGCGGCGUGCGAGUCUCAGCUUUACGAUGAUUCCGAUCUGAGCUCGCUGCGACGCCCAGGAACGGCAAAAUCGGCGUCCGUAUCGAAAACCGCAAAACGGCGCUCUCGGUCGGCUCGGUCGGUGCUUUAACUCGACGCCGCGCGGCGUCGCCCGCACGUGACUGCCACCAAGUUCACGCGACCGCGCGAGUAAACAGAAACACUGGGGUGAGUGGAGUACGGCCUUGCCCCCACUCCCGAGGCCACCUCCAGCUGGCCUCCGGACCGCGCGCGGUCCUUCACCCGUUGCCCGCUCGCGCGAUAUCCAGAGCGCCACCUAGCGCUGACGAUCGCUACUGCUAAAUGCGCAGAAAGUUCCAAGGGCCAUUAUUCGGCGAGGAGUCGACUUGGAGACGCGCAACAAAAGCCGAUCGGUUCGGCUAGAGCAUCAUGUUGAUAAUCUUUUCUUAUUGCUGACUGAGGGAAUACUUUAGAAGCGGCAAACAACAUCAAAAUCUGAUGCGGCGAAAUUCCUGCACCCUGCGACCCUGCACCCUGAAAUUUGUAUCGCGUCAUUCAACUGAGAUGUUCGCGCGCGCAAACAACGAUAAACGAAUGUCCACGUAGAUUGAAUGAGUCUCAGACUGUACGCUACAUCCUCCCAUCGUCCGUAACUUCGUAACGAGAAAGGACGAGGCGCGAGGGGACCGCGAUGCGCGCGCGGGAAGAUGAUCGCGCGGGAAGAUGAUCACGCGUGAAACACCAUGCAGGCGCAGGACUGCGAUCCUCGCGAGGACGAGAUUUGCGAGAAGCGGACGGCGCACGUGAAGAACGUAAUCGGAUUGCGUGACCGAAAGUAUGACAGAAAAAGUCGCAAUAUAUCACACGAAGACUCAAGAGAUAUACACCGAAUAAGUUUUACGUACGUUUAAGAUAGCGGACACGACACGCGUCGCCGUCCUACACGCGGCGACCCACUGAAGAAAAAAGAAAAAAAAAAAAGAAAAAAAAAAGAACAAACGGCAAUUACACGAUCGAGAAUUUCAGGAUAUUUAUUUAAUUGCUAUACACAAUUACAAAUACAAUUACCUAUACAUAUAUACAUAUACACGUAAGAAACGACUAUAAUAAUAAGUAGCACGUAGCGAUACAUUACAACGUACAUCCGUCUGUCGUGCUCGUGGAUUCUGGACAAGACUGCGACAGGAUUGCCGGGGUGAAUACGGACAUCGAGGUAGAUGAUGAUCCCCUCCCAGCAUUUUGGGGGAUUAACGAAGAGGAUUACCCGAGAUCCGCAGACAACGCUGUAACAUAACGAUCGUCGACACGAAAUGCUCGAAAACCAUCGUUCUUGUUAUUAAUUCGUUUACUUCAUUUGCUCGAGACCUUCUGGUAGUAUCUUCUCACUGUAGCCACAUAUAUUGUUCUGCGAGGAUCACGAGGACGGGCUCUUACCUGGCUGGACGACGAGUCAGCUUGCAAUUAGGUCGAAGAGAGGACUCUGACAAAUUUCGGCGCCGUGUUGAUCACUAGGAGGACAGUGUUGCCCGACAGUAUUUUCAAGUCAUUGACAAGUUACCAUGCAACGACAGCAAUUUGAUUCAACAUUAUAACGUAGUUAAUUCAAUAUUAUUAUUAUUAUUAUUAUUAUUAUUAAUUUAACGCUGUUAUAACGUGUAUUAUGGCCGCCUGCCGGUGCCUGUAUAUGAUAAUUUCGGCACAUUAUACAUACAUACACACAGUGCAAGGUCAUACUUUUGUGUUACAUCGAGUUAAUAAAGUACCGGUGUUUUUUAAGCAUUCGUAAGCAUUAUAUUAUUAGGCUAAAGGAUGCGGCGGCGUACGAGGAAAUGCUGUGCGUGAGCAGAUUUUAAGGCUGUGUGGUCAAUAAAACGCUGAAAUAAA
rnacentral:misc_RNA from 1 species